AGUGAACGCUGGCGGCAGGCCUAACACAUGCAAGUCGAGCGGCAGCGGGUUCCCGCGAGGGGAUGCCGGCGAGCGGCGGACGGGUGAGGAACACAUCGGAAUCUGCCUGGUUGUGGGGGAUAACGUAGGGAAACUUACGCUAAUACCGCACGCGACCCUGAGUCGACGGACUGGGGGUGAAAGUGAGGGACCUUCGGGCCGUCACGCGACCAGAUGAGCCGAUGUCGGAUUAGCUAGUUGGCGGGGUAACGGCCCGCCAAGGCGACGAUCCGUAGCUGGUCUGAGAGGAUGAUCAGCCACACUGGGACUGAGACACCGGCCCAGACUCCUACGGGAGGCAGCAGUGGGAAUCUUGGACAAUGGCGCAAGCCUGAUCCAGCCAUGCCGCGU
rnacentral:rRNA from 1 species